UACGUAGGGCGCAAGCGUUGUCCGGAAUUAUUGGGCGUAAAGAGCUCGUAGGCGGCCUGUUGCGUCCGCUGUGAAAACCCGGGGCUUAACCCCCGGGCUUGCAGUGGAUACGGGCAGGCUGGAGGCAGGCAGGGGAGAACGGAAUUCCCGGUGUAGCGGUGAAAUGCGCAGAUAUCGGGAGGAACACCGGUGGCGAAGGCGGUUCUCUGGGCCUGUACUGACGCUGAGGAGCGAAAGCGUGGGGAGCGAACAGGAUUAG
rnacentral:rRNA from 1 species